rnacentral:ribozyme from 1 species
UGGAACUCGCAGAUACCGCUUCUUUAACACCGGGAAUGCCUAAAGGAGUGUCGGCCCUAGCGGAUAUGUUGGAAUCCAAUGCACUUCAGGCCACGCUUG